rnacentral:rRNA from 1 species
UACAGAGGGUGCGAGCGUUAAUCGGAAUUACUGGGCGUAAAGCGUGCGUAGACGGUUAUUUAAGUCGGGUGUGAAAGCCCCGGGCUCAACCUGGGAAUUGCAUUCGAGACUGAAUAGCUAGGGUACGGUAGAGGGAAGCGGAAUUUCCGGUGUAGCGGUGAGAUGCGUAGAUAUCGGAAGGAACAUCAGUGGCGAAAGCGGCUUCCUGGACCAGUACCGACGUUCAGGCACGAAAGCGUGGGGAGCAAACAGG